CCGGGCGCCGGGCUCUCGGGCCUCGCUUCCAGGGCAGCGCUGGCCUUCCGGACCCCGGCAGUGUUCAGGGAGAAAAGAGACAAGAACAGAGUCAAACCCAUCAAUCUUGACUUUGCAUCACUACCCUGGCUGCUGCCUUGGCCUCCGAUGAUGUCUGGCCUCCAUACAUUUCCUGGUCUUGGUCAUCCAGAGACCCUGUCCUGGCUGAAUUCACCACGGAAAAGAGCCACAGCUCAUGCUCUUCAGCACAUGACCCACUGUCUAUACUUGGACUGCCCCUUGCAUCAGCGGACACAGGACUGCUUGGCCCAUCUCCAACCUCAUCUAAGUCUGUGCUCCUCUCUGUUACUCAACUAGACCUGUGCAGCCCGAGGCUCAGUGAAGGGAGUAACUUACUCAGAACCCACAUCCUACCGACCCCAGCAGCACCAGCAGGAAACACGAGGGAGAACUAUAGUUUCAGGUUGAAUAUGAAGAAGCUUGGGGACAUCCAGAUGAGAAUAUUAGAGGACAGCCAGACAGAUGAACCCAGGGCUUGGCAGCAAUAUCUUUAUCCUAGAGCUUAGUAGAAACAGUGGGCUUUGCAUUCAUGAAUUAAUUCAAGUAUGUUUGAGUGCCUACUAUGUGCCAAGCAUUGUGCUUUGCUAUAUAUGAAUUAUUUGGGACCCUGAUUUCUUCCAGGGGAAUAGGGAGGAAUCUGCCCUCCAUAGAAGGAAAAUAUUCUAGGCAAGUCUUGGACAGCCAUAUGGAAUCAGCAUAGUGGUAUCCAGCAGUCACUCCUUAGCGGACACUUGUCUUGCUGACACAGAACAUGCUGUUGACGAGAUGCUCUUGACUGGACCAGGCCUAUCCUCUACAGUGCGUCAGAACAACCUUGGAACAGUUUAACCUUCAGGAUGCUUUCAUGUGGGCUGAAAAAGGUACCCAGAGUUCGGCUGGUUGAUCCAGAACUGCUUCCUUUGCUCUGGGUCCCACCUUCUCCUACUCCAUUCCCUGGUAACAAAGCCAACUUCCAGGAGGUGGAGGUCAGACAUUGUUCGCCCUGUUAUUUACCCAACUGUACCCAACAGUCCCCUUCUUGGGACUGGGAGCAGGGGGAGAUAAGGACCAAUAAGUAAUAUUCUGCUUCCUUCCAGGGGCCUUAAUGGCAUGGCAGUGUUGAUCCACUGCCAUUGCCACACAUAGCUUUGUCCCAUAGUUGCCAACAGCUCAGCUGCAGUUUCCCAUCUCUGUGUGAAGAGGAACUUGUCCGCACUUGAUGUUAUAUGGGUUAUCUCAGAAUGGGGAUUAAAAGUUUAAAUGUCUACAGUGGCAAGGCACUGUGUUAAUAUAUUUUAAUAUAAAAAAAUUGAAAAAAAAUUGAGCUGAGGAGCUGGAGAUUUAGCUCUGUAGUUCCACUGCCUGCUUGGCAAGCACAAG
rnacentral:lncRNA from 1 species